UGAAGUUGUUUAAGGACCCAGAUGCACCUUUCCCAUAGUUAGAGUUCAUUUUGGCCUUGUUUUCACAGAUUCAACAAAAAAUAGAACAAAUCCGUAUUGAUCUAAGAGAUGAAAACAAAAUCUGUUAAAACAGAGAACGUACCUGCUAAUUUGAGAGCGAGAAAGCCAAUAUCAGAGAAUCCAAACAAGGCGCAUCGGAGAAAGGAGAAAAGGGUAAUGUGAAAGAGUGGUUUUUGGGUGUCCGAUGGAAGGAAAACCAGAAGGCGAUGUGAAGGCCUCUUCGUAUAAUUUUCUAUUUUCAAUGGAAUCGAAUUUCAGAAUCCUGCUGCCUGCUGCUACAGGAAGGGUUAAUUUUCCUCCCCUUUUACAGUUGCUUUUGGAGAGUCG
rnacentral:misc_RNA from 1 species